AUGGACGCGGAUAGCUCACGGGCUUGGCUAUCCGGACUCCACCCGUGCUUCGCCUGUACGCUUUUGUCCCCUACCUUUCCAAAGUCCAGUCUAAACUUCAUCAUUUCACAGUUACGCGCCCUCGCUAUUUUAGUGAGUAUUCCUAGCACAGCAUCGUUUCUGAGAAGACGAAAGCACGUAGACACACAGAGUUUAGUGAAUCGCCAGCUUCUGCGCGCCCUCGUCUCCCUGGUGCUCCAUGCACUUCGGAGGGAUGCACGGCUCGGAUGGUGCUUUAAUCGCGCCGCACAGCGCCCCGCGGGCUCCACGCUUGGGGACCUGGGGAAGCACCGCGGGGGCGGCAGGAGACCUGGGCCGUCAAAUGGAAACGCGUGUGCCGAGGGGCGGAGGGGGCCCGCUGGAGCUUCUCGGCUACCUCGGUCGCCGCCGGUGAGGACAGAGCCCCUUUCUUCCCCCUCGCCCCUCUGCGAGGGACCGGCCGCGCUGCAGCUACCCCUGCUCCGAGCUUCUGCGAAACGUCCGAGGGGCAACGGCAGCAGGAGGGCUGCGGGGGCCGGCCAGGGGUCACCCCGACGCCGCCCGUCGCCUCGGCUCCCCGCUACCGUGGCCACCGAGGGGCGGCCGGGGCCGGGCGCCCCGGCGGGUCCCGCAGCGAAGCCCAGGAGGGCGGUCUGCGCCCGGGCCCUGGCUUUGGGGGGCGCCAGGGCCCCAGGUGGGUGCUGUGGGAACAGCGAACCCUCCGGCUGGCUCCGAGCCGGCUUGCGCUCCACGCUUCGCGAAGGGCCGCAGCUCCGCCCCGGCGGGAGCGCGGGCGGCGUGUGCGCGGGGCUGCACGCAUCCUGCCCUGCACCCCCCGGCCCCGCACGGCUCCGGUCCCUCCGCGGAGCCCCCGCCUCCGCUUUCCGUGAUGAGGGUCGGUGCCCGCCCGGGGCGCGAGCGUGGGGCUCGGCGGUCGCGCUCCGCCAGGCACGGUCGCGCUGCCGCUGCCCUCGGCUUCCGUCGGGGUGAGGUGCGUGUUCCCCGCGCCGCUGCCCGCCGUGCUUUCGCGCGAAUUGACAGCAGCUGCCAGGAGUGCCGGCUGGAGGGAAACAGCGGAGGUGGCAAAUAAAAAUAUUUGGAGAUGAGGCUACUGAAGGGAA
rnacentral:lncRNA from 1 species